rnacentral:rRNA from 1 species
CCUGCGGAAGGAUCAUUACUG